ACCGCUCCCGCGGCCAGCAGUGGCUCAUGCAGGUCGACUUCAAGUGGCAGGCGCGGCGCAACCAGAGAGAGCAGGACAGCUAGUCCGCGACCCCCGCACAGAAUCAACAACGAUAGACCAUAACAGUCUUCCCCUCUCGUUAGAUAUCAGAUUUUAUUCCUUAUUCCUAUAUCUGAAGUUUUAUAUCUAUUAGAUGUAUUGACAUUAGUGAAGUCCUGUGAAUUGUUGACAAUACAUAAUGUAUGCUGUAAUAAGUUGUAUUCCCUAUAAAUAUUGCUCAAACUUAUGUAUUUGUUUGGUGUGUUGUGGAGUGAGUUAUUUUUGUAUUGUUUAAAUUUUUAUGUCCUUUGUAAAUCAUGGAUGUUUUAAAUUUUAUUUGCGAAACUGCUGUUUCGAGGGGAGUUCGUUUAUAUGUAAGUGUUCAAAACUAGGAAAUCAGUUGACAACCAAUACUUACUAACAAAUCUGUCGCUACUCUUGAAAACCUCAUCUUUAAUACUAAGUGCUGACUUACGAGCUUUAUUUACAUACAAAUACCUUUAAUUAUACAUAUUAUAGGUAUUGUUACUUUGCGAGUUUUGGUUGUCAACCUAAAAAAUAUACUUAACCUUUCGUAUAUUCAUAGGUUACUCAAACCUCAGUCGUAUCGUAUAGAGCAAAUUGUUCAAAUGCUAUAUAGGACGACUUAAAAAUGUGGUCGAUCGUAAUGAAACAGACGAAAGGUUAAUGUAACCGAUAGUGUAAGCAUACCCACGGUGCAUCACAAGUCGUGCGUAUUGUUAUCAAACGUUCCCCGAUAUUUAUUAAAAUAAUUGAAAUUAUUUUUGAAUCUGUACGAUACUCUAUUCCAUGACCAAUAAGUUUAUCGCGAGCUCACAAUCUAGUAUUCUAAUGGACUUUAAUAUACACUUUAUAUCGUUUAGUCGGCAAUGUUUUAUAUUAGUAUAACGUUGUUAAUACGCUGGUGUUCUUAUCUGAGAGUAACGUGUAGAAAUAUUAUUAAAAUAUUAUGAGGUAAAUAUGAUUAGCACGGGCUAAGACAUUAUCUAAAACGUUAAAAAUCACAACAAAAGGUGCAGUAGUAACCCUCCCGGAUAUUUAAGUUAAGCGAAACCCGACCUGAAAAUUAAGAUUAGCUCAUAAUUUUUCUUUGGGUUAGUUGGACCCUUUUUGCUUGACUAUUCGUAAAAGCUGGUGUUUAAUAUCCUGGCCAAGUUUACUACGAGUAAAGUGAUAAAUUCCAUCCUCCUUGGCUUAAGCACAUACCACCCUUUGUUGUAAGUUGGGUAUAAUGGGUAUAUCCUCACUAAGUUUAUCAUCAAUCUGUGAUUUUGUCACAACUUUUAUGUCCAGUAGUGACAAUAAACGUAACUCAAUUUCACUCAAAAGUCUAUUACUAUUUUUUUAACACACAAAGGUAUAACAUUGAAAUAGUUUUUUUUUUUAAUACCGAUGAUAAAAGUACUGGGAAUAUACCGUUAAUUUCACCGAUAUUCACUGUUAGACUUAUUUUUAUGUAGGUAACGAUUAUUUUCACAGAGCGGUGCUAACGACUUUGCCACUAAGUAUAAAUUACCUGUAUAUUUUAUUAACGCGUUGGUUAGGACGGCUCGGCACGCAGUUUGUGCCAUAUCUUAUGCCAGACAGCCCAGAUUUGCCACAAUUUAAUCUUUUUAGAAAAAUAUAUAACUUUAGCAAGUAAAUAGACUUGUCUUUUGACCAUCAUAAUUCCACAUAGUAAAGACUAUUUUUAUUUCAUCUAAGUGAUUCAAUUUUUUCUCAUUUUACGAGGAAUGAAUUUUGUAUCUGAGAAGGAAUUGUUUUGUUUAUUAGGACUGUUAUUAUACUAUUACUGCCAUGUUUUGUAAAAAUGUGGGGAAUCUACGUCGAAUUGUAAGGUUAUUUUGUAAUUUGUACACCAUCACUUUAUACUCGAGUGUGUUGUGAUGCCACGUCUCACGAAGUGCUAGUGUUUCAAUCAUUCGUAGGUCUUUCGCAUGUGAGAUUACUGUAGGUAAGGGAUGGAACUAUUUCACCGUACAUUGUAUUGCAGCUAUAAUAAACCGAAUCCCGCAUUUUAUGUAUUUUAGCUUUUAUAGUCAUGAGAGUAAGUCAAACUGACUUGUGGAAAAUGCGCGAAAAGCACGUGUGAUGAGAUUACGUUCUAAAAUAAUUUAAUUGGAAGUUGCCUUGUUUUUAUUAGGGCUUAAAUAAAUUCACGUCACGUUCAUCGUAUAUAAAAAUUUGUAUAAAUAUUUUAAAGCAUAUCGUAUGUAGGGCUUGAUGAAUUGGCGCCGAUAUAUUUUCUUAAAUAAGACAUUAAAUUUCUAAUGUAGCGUAGCGUAAACGUAGAUCAUAUUCCUCAUAUUACCCUGUAAUAAUAAUAAUAUUUUAUCAAAAUCGGGCCCCUAACAACGAAAGUAAAUUAAAUUAACUUUUUUAUUGAUUGUAUAAUAUUAGGAAUAGUAAUAUAAAUAUAUUUGUUCCAUUUCGCUUUUAAAGUUAGCUAAGUGACGGCCAAUCGAGGGCCAUUUUGUCCUCUUUUUGCCGAAUUAUAUGUAAUAUUGUAUUAUGCAUUUAAUUCAUGUCCAUUUAAUAUUUAUUUUUAGUUUGUAGCAUCACAGAGUGAGUAUGUAUAUUUUUGUGAAAAAUUCUUCACGUUUUAGGAGUUGCUCAGCACCAGUCGGUGGUAGAUUAAAUUAAACCGUGUAUGAUUUGCUUAUUGUUGAUAGAUUUCUAUAUGUUGUAGAUAUACAUUUUAAAUUUUAAAAUUCAAAAUUCAACUGUUUUUUACGGAGCAUAGAAAAAAUAAUGUAUUUGGAUUGAACAUGAACAUAUCUGUGUUAGUUUUGAACUAGACAUUAAACUACUUAUUGACAGUCUAUCUGCAUUGACACAUUAUGCACUCGAUGAGAUACUAAAUUGAGAUUUAUUACGUUAAAAUAAUUACAUUUUAAACUGAACAUAGUUAUUUAUUAUGUACGCAACAUUACGGAGUCGAUAAUGUGUUGUUAUACAUGUCCUGUGUUGUUUUUUAAGCAUUAAUAUUAUGUAGAUAUUAUAUGUAUAAACGAGAUUGUAUUCUUUUGUAAAUAAUUUGUUUAAUGUGGAAUUGUCCUAUUGUGAAGCUAUUGAUUUGGCAGCUAUCCCAUACGGCGACGAGAAAGCGAUUAGCUAUCAAAUAUUUUCUUGCUCAAGAUACGUACAUCUAUGAAUCGAUACAAAUUUGAACGUUUUAACUGCCGUGGACUGAUAAGACAUACAAUAUCCAGCUUAUUUACUCACGAAACGCUCGAUAAAAAGCGGUUAAAAAAAAGGUUUAGAUCGUCCACUUUACCGACCAGAAUUCUCUAGUUCUACUCCUUCCUUUUCUACUCAUCUCACUGAUCUCAGCCAGUGGGCCAGCUGCCUUGGUGUAGACCAACACCAUUAAUAAGAACGCAUUUAUUUGUCGUCGGUAUAACGGCUGGAAUUUACACGAUAUAAUGCAUUAAAAAAAUAUAUACUUUUAUCGGACACACUAGAAUUUAUUUAUAAUUAAUUAGACCCAAAACGCGGGAAAAAGAUUUAAUUUAAGCCAUCAUAUCUAAACGGAAUCUCAUUGUUUUUCAUAAAAUUGAUAUUUUAAGUGCCAAAUUCGCCGUUUAUUUUAAAUGUAAUAAUUGUGUAUAACCCGCGAAUACCAUUCCAACUGACGAUAACUAAACUUAUAUUGUGAGUAUUGAAUAUUAAAUAUUUGGACUGAA